rnacentral:rRNA from 1 species
AAACAUUGGUAGCACACUACCCCUACUACCCGCCUGGGAACUACGAGCAUCAGCUUGAAACCCAAAGGACUUGGCGGUGCUUUAGAUCCACCUAGAGGAGCCUGUCUAGAACCGAUAACCCCCGUUCAACCUCACCUUUCCUUGUUUUUCCCGCCUAUAUACCGCCGUCGUCAGCUUACCCUGUGAAGGAUUUAUAGUAAGCAAAAUUGGUACAACCUAAAACGUCAGGUCGAGGUGUAGCGUAUGGGAAGGGAAGAAAUGGGCUACAUUUCCUAAAACAGGAAAUUACGGACGAUGUACUGAAACGUACAUCUGAAGGAGGAUUUAGCAGUAAGCAGGAAAUAGAGCGUCCA